CUGCGAGUGAAAGGGGAAAAGCCCAGCGCCGAAUCCUGCUGUUGGAGACGGUGGCAGGAACUGUGGCGUGAAGAAGGUGUCUAUCGGUGUGGCUUGCUCGCGUAAGUUCUCCUGAGUGAGGCUCCAUCCCAUGGAGGGUGCAAGGCCCGUGUCGUGAGCAGCCGUCGCCGAUGCGCGCUUUCAGAGAGUCGCCUUGUUUGCGAGUACAAGGUGAAGUCGGUGGUAAACUCCAUCGAAGGCUAAAUAUGACCACGAGUCCGAUAGCGAACAAGUACCGUGAGGGAAAAUUGAAAAGCACUUUGAAGAGAGAGCGAAACAGUGCGUGAAACCGUUCAGAGGUAAGCAGAUGGGGCCUCGAAGGCAGAGCAUCGAAUUCAGCCGGUUGUCCGUGCGGUGGGCUGCUACACGAGAUCGCAAGACUCUGUCUGGUUUGCUUAGCGCGGCUGCUGGUGCACUUUCGGUGCUUGUACGCCACCGCCGUUGAGGAG
rnacentral:rRNA from 1 species